rnacentral:rRNA from 1 species
AUGUGCCUACGGGGCGCAGCAGUGGGGAAUAUUGCACAAUGGGGGGAACCCUGAUGCAGCGAUGCCGCGUGAAGGAAGAAGAUUUUCGGAUCGUAAACUUCUAUCAGCAAGGAAGAAAAAGGACAGUACUUGACUAAGCAGCCCCGGCUAACUACGUGCCAGCAGCCGCGGUAAUACGUAGGGGGCAAGCGUUAUCCGGAUUUACUGGGUGUAAAGGGAGCGUAGACGGCAUAGCAAGUCUGAUGUGAAAGAUCGGGGCUCAACCCCGGGCCUGCAUUGGAAACUGUUAAGCUGGAGUACAGGAG